AUGGUCUCCUCCCGAACCAUCAUUCCCACGACAUUCUGGUCCCUUUCUCGUCCCUCGGAGCUUUCCCCCCACCCCCCAACUCUGCCAACUGGAAGGGUUGUAAAAGGUCAUCUCCUGCAUUCUUCUGCCUCCUCGUCAAAUGUCUGCCUGACCUCUGCCCCUGCCCGGCGCCCCAGAAACCUCAGCUCCUUCACCAGCACUGCGCUGGCUUGGCCAGCCUCUCCCCAAUGCCUGCGGGGAUUCAACCGCUUGCAGGGGCCGUGGGAGAUCAGAAGGCAGAGAGGAGGGCAGCUCUGGCAGCCACCGGGGAGACCUGGGGCAUCUGGAGGAGACUUGACUCAGGUCCCAGCCCCCACCCCCACCCCUGGAGCAUGAAGCUCGCGAGGGUCAUCCGUGCGAUGUGAUCCCACAGUCGUAUCAAAUGAAUACACGUCACGGCGGGAAAAGAUUAAUGACCUGACGGACCAAGACUACGUGUCGCAAACCGGACCUGUUUGUGCGCCGCUGGAGGGGAGUAAACCGCUAGGCACAUUUGGGAAGAAUGGUGUCGAGGGCGUCUGGGCGGCUCGGUCGAUUGAGCGUCUGACUUUUGAUUUCGGCCCAGGUCAUGAUCUCACAGUUCAUGAGAUCAAGCCCCACAUCAGGCUCUGUGCUGACAGUAAUGAGCCUGCUUGGGAUUCUCUCUCUCUCUCUCUCUCUGCCCCUCCCCUGCUCACCCUCUCUGUCUCUCAAGAUACAUAAACAUAAAACAAUUGGGGCGCCUGGGUGGCUCAGUCGGUUGAGCGUCCGACUUCGGCUCAGGUCAUGAUCUCACAGCUUGUGAGUUCGAGCCCCGCGUCGGGCUCUGUGCUGACAGCCCAGAGCCUGAAGCCUGCUUCUGCUUCUGUGUCUCCCUCUCUCUCUGCCCCUAACCCACUCACAUUCUGUCUCUGUCUCUCUCAAAAAUAAAUAAACAUUAAAAAAAAAUUUUUUUUUAAAA
rnacentral:lncRNA from 1 species